UAAGUCGAACGGAGUUGUGUUGAAGCUUGCUGGAUAUACAACUUAGUCGCGGACGGGUGAGUAACACGUGAGUAACCUGCCUCUCAGAGUGGAAUAACGUUUGGAAACGAACGCUAAUACCGCAUAACGUGAGAAGAGGGCAUCCUCUUUUUACCAAAGAUUUAUCGCUGAGAGAUGGGCUCGCGGCCGAUUAGGUAGUUGGUGAGGUAACAGCCCACCAAGCCGACGAUCGGUAGCCGGACUGAGAGGUUGAUCGGCCACAUUGGGACUGAGACACGGCCCAGACUCCUACGGGAGGCAGCAGUGGGGGAUAUUGCACAAUGGGGGAAACCCUGAUGCAGCGACGCCGCGUGAGGGAAGACGGUUUUCGGAUUGUAAACCUCUGUCUUUAGGGACGAAAAAAUGACGGUACCUAAGGAGGAAGCCACGGCUAACUACGUGCCAGCAGCCGCGGUAAUACGUAGGUGGCAAGCGUUGUCCGGAAUUACUGGGUGUAAAGGGAGCGUAGGCGGGGAGACAAGUUGAAUGUCUAAACUAUCGGCUUAACUGAUAGUCGCGUUCAAAACUAUCACUCUUGAGUGCAGUAGAGGUAGGCGGAAUUCCUAGUGUAGCGGUGAAAUGCGUAGAUAUUAGGAGGAACACCAGUGGCGAAGGCGGCCUACUGGGCUGUAACUGACGCUGAGGCUCGAAAGCGUGGGUAGCAAACAGGA
rnacentral:rRNA from 1 species